rnacentral:lncRNA from 1 species
GGGGCAUGAGGUUUGGGGUGGGUUCAUACCAUCUUGGCAUGUGCAAAGAAGGAGAUCGAUCUCCUCUCGGGUGAGAGACCUAGAAUCAUUCUAAGGUUUCUGGGUGAGAAAAAAACAAAAAGAGAAGAGAAUCUUCAUCUAAUUUUUUUUCAUCAUCCAAUAUUCUCUUUUGAUCUAUCUUUGAUAUUAGAAAGAUCUGAGGUGAUUGAAAAAGGAGAUCAAAUCAGAUCCACC